rnacentral:rRNA from 1 species
UACGGAGGUGGCAAGCGUUACUCGGAAUCAUUGGGUGUAAAGGGCAAGUAGGCGGUCUAUUAAGUGAGGGGUGAAAUCCUGCGGCUCAAUCGCAGAACUGCCUUUCAAACUACUAGACUUGAGGCCGAAAGAGGGAAACGGAAUUGGCAGUGUAAGGGUGAAAUCUGUAGAUAUUGCCAAGAACACCAACGGCGAAGGCAGUUUCCUGGUUCGGUUCUGACGUUGAAUUGCGAAAGCUAGGGUAGCAAACGGAAUUAGAAACCCGAGUAGU